UUAUGGUGUCUUGGUCAUUGUUGACCGUACAUAUAUAUAAUCCCUGCAAUUGUUUUGCAGCUUAUGUGGGGAUUAUACGAUGGACAACAGAGACCUUUGACAUUAAAGA
rnacentral:pre_miRNA from 2 species